rnacentral:tRNA from 4 species
GGGUAUGUAACCGAUCUAACCGGGAGAGCGCUUGAAUGGCAUUCAAGAGGCCGUGGGUUCGAGUCCCAUUAUCUCCA